GAAGCUGGUCAGACAGUCGCUGCCCGCAAGGGGAGAGGAAAGUCCGGGCUCCAUAGAGCAGGAUGCCGGUUAACUGCCGGAGGCCGUGAGGCCAUGGAAAGUGCCACAGAAAACAGACCGCCGAUGAUCCUUCGGGAAACAGGCAAGGGUGAAAAGGCGCUUCGAAAGAAGGGCGGGGUUUCCCCGUCGGGCAAGAGCCCACCGCGUCUGCGGUAACGCAGACGGCACGGUAAACCCCAUCCGGAGCAAGACCAAAUAGGGGAACGAUGGCGUGGCUCGCGCCGUUCCCGGGUAGGUUGCUUGAGCCCGCAGGUAACUUCGGGCCUAGAUGAAUGACUGUCCCAGACAGAACCCGGCUUAUCGACCGGCUUCACAU
rnacentral:RNase_P_RNA from 1 species